rnacentral:rRNA from 1 species
AUGCAUGGAUGGUUCAAGAUCAAGCCAUCCUAUCUGCAAUCCGGUCCUUUCUCACAGAAGGAAUCUCGUCGCUGGUCAUCUUUGCCGCUACGUCUCGGGACGCGUGGACGGCUCUUCAUAUCACUUUUGCUUCGCAGUCCCAGGCGCGUGCUCAUGCUAUUCACACCGGAUAGGAUUCAGAUGUAUAGACCUAUAUGCAUGCUCAAUGUCCCGUUUAAAAUCUUUACCAAAGUCUUAAACAAUAGAGCUAUGACUACUGCUCACAAGACGAUUUCUAAGGUGUAUGCAAGAGAAUGGACUUUGUUCGUGCUCGUAUGGUUUGGCAAGAAAGGGAUGGAGUGA